rnacentral:piRNA from 1 species
CUGAGGACUGGUGCAGAGUAGAA